GCCAGCCCGCUCAGAAACUUAAAGGAAUUGACGGGGCCCGCACAAGCGGUGGAGCAUGUGGUUUAAUUCGAUGCAACGCGAAGAACCUUACCUGGUCUUGACAUCCCGGAGACCCUUAGGAAACUAGGGGGUGCUUCCAUCUGGAAGAAUCUGGAGACAGGUGCUGCAUGGCUGUCGUCAGCUCGUGUCGUGAGAUGUUGGGUUAAGUCCCGCAACGAGCGCAACCCUUGCCUUUAGUUGCCAGCAGUUCGGCUGGGCACUCUAAAGGGACUGCCGGUGUUAAACCGGAGGAAGGUGGGGAUGACGUCAAGUCCUCAUGGCCUUUAUGACCAGGGCUACACACGUACUACAAUGGCCGAUACAAAGGGCAGCGACACUGCGAGGUGAAGCCAAUCCCGUAAAAUCGGUCUCAGUCCGGAUUGGAGUCUGCAACUCGACUCCAUGAAGUUGGAAUCGCUAGUAAUCGUGGAUCAGCAUGCCACGGUGAAUACGUUCCCGGGCCUU
rnacentral:rRNA from 1 species